AGAAAGACUCUUCUUCUUUAAAGUGCAGUCGCCAUUUUGAGAAGCUCGACCUGCUAACAUCCAGCCGUGAACGGUUGCAACGCAGCAAGACUUCAACAUUCUUGCUUUUUAAAUAACACGUCUGGAAGAUAAUUAUAAUAAUUAUCGAUGAAUCGCUUCAACAACAAUCGCGGUGGAUUCGGGAUGAACCAUUUCCAGGCACGCAGAGGCGGUGGGCCCGGCGGCCCGAUGCGCGGUGGGCUAAUGGGAAAUCCACAUUUCAGGAGCCAUCCUUUUCAAAAUAACAACCAGAAUCGGAGGGGGGCGAAUAAUAACUUCAACAAACCGAACAACCAAGGGCCACAGAUGACUCCCCCGAAGCCACAACAGAACCAGUCACAGCCCAUCAUCCCUCCGCCGAGUCCCGGCCCGGCUCUCACCAUGAAAGGCCCCAUGCAGCAGCAGCCGAAACCAGUACAGCCACAACAGCAACAACCGGAGAAGCCAACAACCCCGACUCAAACGCCGACGAUUCAGUCCCCACCACCGAAACCCGCGAUCACCCCCCCACAGGCCAACCAGAACCAGAAUCAGAACCAACAGCUGAAGUCGCCGGCAGGAAAUACUAACGGACAGCAGCAGAAGCAGACCCCACAACCGAGCCCAAAGGCCGCGCCUCAGCAACCCCAGAAGCCGGUCCCUCAGCAAGCCCAGAAGCCGGUCCCUCAGCAAGCCCAGAAGCCGGUCCCUCAGCAAGCCCAGAAGUCGGGGCCCCAACAGGCCCACAGGCCGGGUCUUCAGCAGAGUCAGAAAACGGGGCCCCAACAAGGCCAGAGGACGGGGAACCAGCAGGGCCAGAGGAUGGGCCCACAUCAUGGACAGAGGGCCGGGCAACAGGCGCCAAAGAAAGACGAGCGAAAUGUGCCGCAAGAAAAUACGGGUACAAUGGAGACCGAUGGGGGCGAUUCACAGGGAGGAUUUAAGGCAACGCUGUCCAUGCUGCUGAAACCUGGUGAGAAGACCUAUACACAGCGUUGUCGCCUGUUCAUCGGUAAUCUGCCAAAUGACAUCACUGAGGAACUGUUGAAGAAAAUGUUUGCGAAGUAUGGAGAGCCGAGUGAGGUCUUUGUCAACAAAGCCAAAGGCUUUGGUUUCAUCCGACUGGAAUCCCGGGCACUUGCAGAGAUAGCAAAGGCAGAGUUGGAUGACACACCAAUGAGAGGCAGACCACUGCGUGUCCGAUUUGCCACACAUUCUGCAGCUCUGUCAAUCAAGAACCUGUCCCCAUAUGUCUCCAACGAACUUCUAGAGGAAGCAUUCUCGCAGUUUGGAAUGGUUGAGAGGGCCAUUGUGAUAGUAGAUGACCGUGGGCGCUCCUCAGGCAAGGGCAUUGUUGAGUUUGCCUCCAAACCUGCCGCCAGGAAGGCUCUGGACCGGUGCAAUGAAGGCAUCUUCUUACUCACUUCAUCACCCCGGCCCGUUAUUGUUGAGCCACUUGAGCAGUUUGAUGAUGAAGAUGGUCUUCCAGAGAAACUAGCACAGAAGAACCCCAGAUAUCAAGCAGAACGUGAAGAACCACCUCGCUUUGCACGUCCUGGCACUUUUGAGUUUGAGUACUCAAAGAGGUGGAAGUCGCUUGAUGAAAUGGAGAAGCAGCAGAGGCAGCAGGUGGAGAAGAACAUGCGUGAGGCCCGUGAGAAACUUGAGAGUGAGAUGGAGGAUGCUUACCACGAGCACCAGGCCAAUCUGCUCCGACAAGACUUGCUGAGGAGACAAGAGGAACUACGGCGCAUGGAGGAGAUGCACAGUCAGGAAAUGCAGAAGAGGAAAGAAAUGCAGCUCAGACAAGAGGAAGAAAGACGGCGACGAGAGGAGGAGAUGUUGCGUAAGAGGGAGAUGGAAGAACAGGUGCGUCGUCAGCGGGAGGAGAACUACAGGAUGGGCAACUUCAUGGAUAGGGACAGAGAAAUGAGAAUGAAUCCUGGUGGAGCUUUAGGCAUGGGUGACAUGCCCUUCAAUGGUUCCAACCAGAAGUUCCCAAUGGGCUUUGACGGACAGCAGGGAAUGGGACCAGCCUCUGGAGGCCUGAUGGGCAACGAAAUGCGCAAUGAGCGAUUUGCCCAGGGUGGUCCUAGGGGAAUGGGUCCUGGUAACCCCGGGUACGGCAGGGUCCGCGAGGAAUUUGACGGUCCCACUAAGAAACCCCGUUUUUAAACGCUGCACUUUGAUGCAUCCAGCAGCAGCAUUUGUACAGAUUUUUCAAAACCAACACAUUGAGUCGCAUUUCUUGUAUUUAAGUUGAAGUUGUUGCUAUAUUUUAGCUUGACAAUUUUCUCAUUUUAUGACAUAGUCAAUUUUUUCUUUUUUUUAUUUUGUAUUGUCAGUAGUAAGGUAGCUCAACCUCAUGUGAUGCGUUAGUUCUUUCUGAAACAUGUACAAUUUUCUUUUCUAGGUGUAUUAUGCUCUGUGAGUCGUGGUGACGUGAUAAUUGUAACAUUUUCUCAACUUUCUAUGGCUGUGUUUUGUGCCAUACAUUUGGAAUCAAAGCAUGUAUUAUAAUAAAGACACAUUGGUUCUAUCCGGUCAAAUCUUAAACAUUUAUUUAUAAAAAGAUUUAUAUACAGUACGUUACUAAAGCAAACAAUUUUCAUUGUUUGCGCACGUAAAUAUGGCUAUAUAUACCACAUUAGGACUUAAAGGAUCUAUGUAUUAUCUCUGACAUAAUCCUGAUCUCUACAACAAAGUGACACAUUACUAACACAAAAAGAACAAAGCCAGCACAAGUUACACCAUGAUCUAAUUUUCAUUAGAUCAGUUUUGCACUUUAUAUGAAAUCUCAUAUCAUGGGGAUUUAGUCAAAAUAAAAUAGUAAUUAGCUGGAGAUGAAUAUCUCGUGUAAGUCAGAAUGGCACUGGUAAGACGUGCACUAUCUGUUGAGAUGUAUAAAGACCAGACAUUUUUAAUGCCCAACUCUGCUGUUCAAUUUUACAAACACUGCACCCGGCAGGAACUGAGACACAACCAUUUAAAGUCUCAUUUCAAUGGGUGCAGUAUGUUAACUGCACUUUAUUCAGCAUGUCUGCUCACACUUCAGGAAAGCAGAAAUAAUGCACAUAGAACCUUUAAGAACACUUGUGGUUUAGUGUGUGUGUGUGGUUGUAGGUUUACCAAGUGGACAAAUAAGUCUCCACCUUGUGCUUGUAUCACUGACGCACAGUCCACCUGAGUGUGUUUCAUGCUCUGGGCCUGGGAUGGUUGAAUCUGCACUUCAAUACAUUGAAGACCUAUAGAAAUCCAUUGUGGACAAACUACCUUAAUUUUAGGUCCCCACCUUCAUAGUAACUGGAUUCAUUCUUUCUAUACCGCUUUAUCCUCAACGUGAGGGUUGCAGGGAUCCAAGCCUGACAUGUUUUCAGAAAGUGAUCGUGGUCGCCAUCAUUUAUUCAACGACCUAGUUGGAGUUUGCAUUCCUCAUAGUUAUGUAACUGGACAAAGGUUACUCUUCACUGUCACAAUAGUAACAGUUGGCCCCUUUGCACUGUGCAGGUUCUGGCCAUUUAUUUAAAAAAGGUAUGGUAGCUGUGGUUAAGUAAAAAAAACAAAACAUGAUCUUCGUAGUGACUAGUACCAACAUGUAUGACUGUUGGGUAAAUAUCAGUAAAUGUUCAUUGUCCUGUAACCUGCAAGUGAACUUAAUCAUUUUUAGUGACUAUAGGAUGUUUAUGAAGAGAAAAAUCCAGGGUCUUAAUCACGUAAAGACUUUGGCAAUAUUAAGUCCUCUUUUAACAUUCUGACUUUAAUUUUCUGACUAUGUCAAUCAUUUUAAAUGGUUUGUUGCAUCACCCAGUUACAUGAUGGAAAAAGUGAUCCUCUGUUGUGAACCAAACAUACAAUUGAAAUUGUACUAAUAUUGAUUUCUCGAAGUCAGAAUGUGAUGGGGAGUUUAACCACUCACUACUACAGCUUAUAUACCUUCAGUUGGACCAGAGUUGGACUCGAGCUGUCUUGGUAGCUUUGUGUGAAUGCGUGCAUGCCACAGUUACCAAUCAUGGUGUACUCCUGGAAAUAAUAGAAGAAUCCACCACACAGAGGAAUAGGACAACACUGACAAAAACAUUGCAAAAUUCAGACUAGCAUACCCAUCAGCCGAUACUGACAAGGAGACCAAUUUUAUGUUUGUCUGCUUGUAGAAUGUGAUAUUUUAUAGUCUGUUGAAAUGCUAACAACUAACUCCAAGCUAAACUGGAAACCUCAUUAUACUGACGAGAUGAAAGUGGUCAUUGCUUCAACCAUAGUUCAAUUUAACUGCGUGGGAAUUUACAAAUUAUUUGCCCAUUCUGGUCCCACUCAAGUCACCAUGUCGGCACCAGUUGGAGGUAUUACCAUGUAACGUUGGUUACACCUGAACACCUCGCCCCAUUUCAUGAAUCGCUGAAGAGUCGUAGUCAUUGAGUUACAUAAACAAGUCAUUUCAUUUGCCUUUUAAUUUCAAGCCCCUAUGUAUGACAUUUAACUUGACUUUCUGUGAUGAAAACAUGUCAACAAAUUAAGCAGAGCUAGUUGUAUUCAAGAAAACUUGACUCCACCGUUUUUAUUUUAUUUUUAGGUGAUUGCCUUAAAUUAUAGUAAGGUAUGUUCUUGUUAGCACCUUGCCCUAAUUUUCAGAACCUUAAAGAUAAAUGUCGGUUAUAUUUUUCCUAUUCUAAGGACAGAUAGUGGCUUAAUUGAAUGCCCAGUAUCAGUUUACCUGCCCGCCAUUAACGUUAUUACUCCUGAUAAGGUAAACCGUUGCCUGUGUGUUUGUGAUUUAAACCUUUGGACAGUGAUGUGCAGCACCAAGUGUAAAAGAAGCUACAGUUGCCAUUGCUUAAGAUAAUUAAAAUCAGAACCACAUAAACCUGGGCCCGUUGAUGACAUCAACCAUCGCAGUGUUUGACUGCACAGUGGCGGACAACAUUUGGACUUGUAACAGGACUCCAGUGUAUCCUGUGGUAGUUGGACUAAUAUUUAAAACUGUCAAGAGGUCUGGAGUUUCUGAACUUGCAGUUUGAAUCUGCAAUGUUUACUUGUAACGAUGCCUAGGAAAUCUUGCUUCUUUGAGCGGCAUCUUGGAACCCCUGAAACUUCAGGACCACACAUACUCUGACGAGUUUGGUAAUGCUAUUGCGCUGUGCACCUGAAAUGUUACGCGUGUCUUGUGUUUUGUACAUUCUUUCUUUAACAGGUUUGACCAACUUUCAGUGAUUGUGGACCAUGGAGGAAUUUGAGGCUGUUUAAGUGUUACCUCAGGACCACAUGGGAGAAAUGAUUUAAGUCCAGUGUUGAAAAGAUUCAGCCUGGUAUUAUACUGAAUCAUUGAACUGCACCAUGCAGAUUUGCAGUAACAUCAGUACAUUUUGACCCUGGAACAAGUAUUGUCUCUAUUAUGGAAUGAAUUAGCACUGAAGCAUUUUUAUUCCUCUUCAAAUGAUGAAACCGUGUUUCUAGAAAACCACGACGGUUUCAAGGAAAAGCAAAUAUUUAUUUUUUUAGUUAUUGUAUUGAGUCAUUAUCAAAAAUUGUAUUAAAUACACAAAUUUGCUGUUUCUUUCAAGAAAUUGCUACCAGCAUCUGGUUUCAUAUGCCAGUAGAGGCCACAGUACUUGGGAUUUAUUUAUUUUUGUAACUGGCAAAUAUUCCAGACUCUUCCUGGAUGACCAAAUUUGUUCAUAAAUGCAAUGCCACAUUGUUUAAUGUAAGUUGACGGACAAUUGAACGUAAGACAACGGUAGUCUUCAUUAAUUCUUACAAACACCUGUGUUUGUCGGCAGAGUAACCCGAGUGUUGCAUUGGGGACGCAUGUCCCAUACCUUCCUGUAAUUGUACCUAAUAGUUUGGUACAUCACUGUUCUCCCUGGUGUGAUCAUCCUAAGAGACUGGUCAUAGCACACGUCUGAUGUAACUGGAGACAUUAAUGAUCUGUUAUUCCAGAUCUUAUGAUUACCAUAGCUUUCGCUUUGACUUACUUGGCACAAGCAUGACCUAUAAGGUUUUGACUUACCCCAAUCUGUCAGUGUGCAGAUAAAAUAGAGAAUGGAAGGAAACCUUGGUUAUGUGUGUGUAUAUAUAUAUAUAUAUAUAUAUAUAUAUAUAUAUAUAUAUAUAUAUUAGUCAAAUAAUUGAAUAUGAACUUUCCACCAUUUUUCUGUUUGAUUCUUAAUGCCUUAAGCACAUUUUUCUUGAAAUGGCUUGAGGUGCCAUUUAGUUAUCUUAAAGUGAGCAAAAGUUCUGUUUUAGUUAAGUUUGUUAAGUAUUUUUUCGUAAUUUAAGAAUGUGAAAGUUAUCGAAAAGUUAAAUUAUAUUUAAUACAUUUAUGUUGGUAAGAUAAAGCAUUUCACUACCAUAAAAUAAAAACUUAAGACAUUAAUGUAGAUAAGUAUACUUAAGGUUCAUAUAUUAGGGUUUGCUAGUGUAAACCAAAUUUCCUUCUCCACACAGCAUAUGAUCCUCAUCAGUGGGAGACUACAAAUCUACUCUAAAGGUUCUGGUAGAUUAAUUGGAACGAAUUGUAAAUUUUAAAACAUGCAAUGUUCUGUAUGUCUGUUGGUGUUGUGUACCAUUUGUUUUCUUUAACAGGUUUGGCCAUCUUUAAAGGUGUUGGACUAUGAGAAGCAGCUUUCCAAACCAAGUAAUUCAGUCACUGGUUACCUCAGAUCUAGCUGAAGCUAUGUAGAGCAGUGUUUCACCUGCUUUUAAACAGAAAUCACACUUACCUUUUGAUUGUGGUAGGUAGUGGUACGAUUUGACCAUUGUUGCACCAGUAAAGAACUGAAAGAUAGGUUGUCCCUUUAUUGCCAACACAUUUUAACUUCGCAUUUAUAGAUUGAAAAUAAGCUCCUCACAGCCGUACACUCUUAAGAAUCCCUGGUGAGUACAAUGUACCCAACACUAGUCCUACCAGGGCAGUUAACAUUUCUUUACUCCUUUCAACAUAGAACACACUGAAUGAAUGCGGUCAGAUUGUGGAUAAGCACAAAGUCUUGUAAGUGAAGAUAUAAAAAAAAAAGCAACAAAAAAAGCACAUUGUUGCUGGUUGCUGGAAUUGGCCAACAGUAACAAGGUAGCUUGACUAAACCAUAAGGGAGGCUAUAAAUAUACACAGCUUAGAUGUUGAACAUAUUAUGGCUCUUAUGUAGCAGUGUUGUAAAUGAAGGAACAUAUUUUCCUAUGUGUGAAAGUUGAUAAGAGGCCAUUGGAAGCAAAUCUUUGACAUUGACAACAUUUAUCAGACGUUUAUUGCCAUGCCAAUUGUUUGAAUGCAAUCUGGGAAACCGAUAGUCAAGAGAACCACGUGAUGGAUGCAAAGAUGCCAAAUUUUAGUCAUUAUCUUCACUUGCAUCAGUUUAAACAUCUAUCUAUGACUGAAACAUGUGCAUGCUACAAUUGCAAAAGCUAAUGAGCUGUGAGAUUUUGACAGAAAUGGCCCCCUGUGGGUUUUCUCAGAAGGAUGAUGAGCAAAUAUUCAUACCAUGUGGGUAAAUGCUAAUGAUAUGUACGCCAAACUUCAUAAGUAACAGGAAAUUUGGAAAAUGUAUAGUCUGCCUAUACAAGAUGAAUGGUUGAUGGGGCCUCAAGUGUAUAUACAUGAGCAGAACAUGUGUAAUAUAUGAAUCAUAUGGCGAUGUCUAAGACUCCAUGUCAUUAUUCUUUUCGCUCGGUAAUGUGUGUUUAUGAAUUUAAAGAGCUAAGGAUAAUUGCUGGGAGUAGCAUUCUUUCUUACUCGCCUUUUAAAACGUCUUAAAUAUAUUGAAGGGCAGCAUUAAGCAUGGAUGUGUCUAACACUGAGAUUUCCCAUAUUUUCAAGACACGUUCUGACAUUGGACAUUUAAAGUCCCACCAAGCUAAAGAAGUACAGAGUAAGUACUGGUGCUGCAGCUAAUAUUGUCUUAAGUGAUGAAUCUGUCUCAUAAUUGUUGAAGAAAAUCAGAAAAUAGUGACAAAAUCAACUUCCAACCAAUGAAGUGAUCACCAAAAUAUUCAGGUUUAAAUUUUGUUGUGGCUUUAGUCACUAUGUACUGACGACCUUCAUGACGAGGACUUCCUCUUAUGCCGACAAAUGUUCAUAACAUUGCGGAAUGCAAAUACAAAUGUUGUGUUCUGAUGCUGACAUUUUUCAGCUAAACAAUAAUUCGUAUGGCCUGUACAUGCUAGGAGGAUCUGUAUAUAUUUCUUGUAUCGUAUCAGCUUUUAUCCACACAGAACCAGUUUCUGAGAGUCCUAAAAUGCUAAUUUUUUGGAUAAUGAGUGGAAAAAAAUCCUAUGAUGCCACUCUUGCAUUUUGUGUUUGUACAACCAAUGUGCAACUUUGGAAAAAUGAUGUCAUAACCCAACUUAUCUCUUGCAUUCUGUCUCCAUCUUGGUUGUCUUGUUCUUGUGUUUGGCUUUCCUAAUGAAGACUUUUCUUGAAACAAUGCCAUUUAUGGAAAACAUUUAACCACUAAUAUCUUGUUGGGAAAAUUCUCUUUCUGUGUGGAUAAGGCCUUAUACUUUGUAGUAAAUAUUUAGUUUAUAGGAAAGGCACAUUUAUCAUUAACUAUCAAGUAAUUAUACAGAAUUCAUAGAUGUUCUUUAAGUCUUCUGUUAAUUUCGGGCAGGCUGUACAGCGAGAGGUGCAAUGCUGUCCUCCAGAGGAACAUGUUAUUAUUUUGCAUCGAUAAAAUCCAGAAGUCCAAAUCAAAGCCAAAGCUUUGACUCUCAUUAACAAUCUCCUAGAGACACGUGAGAGAAAGGCCUCAUGAUGUUUAACCCCUACACUAUCAGUUAGUCCUUUUUUCAAACCUGUUGGUUGACCAACCGCCUUUGCUCACCAGACUACCCGAGGUAGGAAGCCUCAUGCACCUUCUGGUUGAAGAGAGGAUGUUGUUUUUGAGUGUGUGUGUGUAUGUGUUUGUGUCAUGUGUUUGGGUAAAUGUGAGGUGCGUUAGCUGCUGUCAGCCAGCUUGUCAGAGACAGGCUGCCCCAGUCCACAGUAGAGGCUCCUCUCUGCAGUUGGGUUACAAUGACGAUGAGUAGUGCUGCACAAGUCAGUGGACAGUAAAGCCCGGACAUGUUUGCACUGCAGCCAGAGGUAUGCUUACACAGAUCAGCUGAACACGAAAGGUAAGUGCCCCAUCCAUGUCUAUAAUACCAGUUGCAUAGCUCUAUCAUGACUUUAACUCUUCUUCCCCGUGUCACUGCUCAGAGUGACGUUACAGGGCUUCUGGCAUCACACUUGCAAAGAAUGGCAUCACAGUGCAGAUCUCUGUUCUUCAAACCUUUUUUGUGUGUUGUUGUGGCAAAACGUCACAGCCUGAGCUGUUAUUGUAUGUGUGUGGCUGUAGUACUCAAACCUCUCUGUGUAUGCGUGGAAACUACAGACUGGACGGCUGAGUCACUGGUUCAACACAUUUUAAAUACCGCAGGUGUGUGUAAAUGUGCUUUAACUACAGUUAAAUGUGUUGCAAACAUACAUUUUUUUCGGCAUUGGAAACUUUAGAUACCAACUGUAUUGUCAGUUUGUUGGUGAUCAGCAGUGAAAAUAAGCGAACAAAGAGGCAAACACAAUGACUUUUUUUCUAUCGUAGUUCUCAGAAAACCUUUGUUCUGUCUCUAAUUUUGCAUCAAGACACUGAACAGAAUGUGAUUUCUGGUUUGGUGCCUCUCACUGCCUUCUCAGAAACGCAGUUUGUUUUAAGUUUCUCAUGGAAAAAUCAAAAAUGUGUCGUCGAUGGGUGCGGAAAAUGCCUCAUUGUGGAAUGUGUGUGGUACGUGGGAUGGGACAUAUGCUGACUGGGUCACUCUGGGUGGGAUGGCUGAAUGUGUUAAUCUGUCAGACAUCGUAUGUUAAUGCAGUGUGCUGUACAUUGAUUAUGACACCACAAUCUCUAUUGAAGGAUCAACAUAUUUUAAGUGUUUUUUCUUUGCAUUUACCAAAGUAAUGGAUUACAAAUUGAGGAUUGAUUGAAAAAUUCACAUUGGCUGUAUUUUGAAAUUGCUGCUUCAGUGUUUCAGUGUUUCAUUGCUGCUUCAGUGUUUCAGAGUAUUUGGUGCAUUAAUUAAUUAGCUCACCACAACAACAUGACACAGUAAUUAGUGUACAUUCCCAUGUUUGUUUUUUGAGAGGUUGAUCACAAACACUUUAGUUUUACUGUCAAAAAAAUGCUGUGUUGAUCCACAGGUUUAUGUGGCUUGCCGUUAUAAUGCCACUGUGUCAAUGUAGUCUGCUUAUCACAUCCUCUGCAGCCUCAAAACUCCACAAAAGAAAAACAUAAUUUGCACUUAAAGAGAGAUGAUGGCAGUCUGCUUGGGCAGUGUUUCACUACUCUAUAUAUCAGUGUUUCAUGUGUUUCAGUGUUAAAUGGUCAUUUACACCACGUACUCCCAAAUAUUGGAUUUUGGGGCCUGCAGAUAAAUGUGGGUGUCUUUGUUUUGUUUGUCCAUUUUGCAAAAAUGUCCCACCCUUUUAAAUGUAUGUCAAUGUUUUAAGUUAAAUUUAAGAUACCAAACAUCUUUUGGAAAUGGCAAAUUUCCAAAUGUUUAGCCAAUUGGCUAUAAAUUAGUUGCUACAUUAUGCUGCUAAAGAAAUUAUACAUUUGCUGUCUUUUAAGAAGUGGGUCAACAUAUAGAAAACUUAACAUGCCUAUAAUCAAGAAAACUAACUAAAUAUAUAUCAUGACACUUCAUAUUUAUUGUUUACAUCGCCCAAAGCAAACCAGACUGUAUUUCCAAACCCCCCAAAUAUCAGUUAUUUCUGUUUGGCAGAAUGUGAAGCACAAAUACAGUUUUAUACUUGAUAGCAAUCAUGUUUUGUAGCAGAUAAUUUUUCACUCAAGAGACUUUAUGUUUUCAGCUGUACUAGUCUCUUGCCUUCCUCUCUUCUGUCCUCUCAAAAGAACUACUCGUGUAUUGUCUUUUACACUUGAACGCCUCAUCAUUCCAGUGACCUCUGACCAGCCAGCCACGUUGAAAUCGUACAGUGUGUGACGACCGUGGCCGUUUCCCUGUGUUGCUUGUUCAUCGGAGUUGUAACGUAGCUGUGAAGAACCGUUGGGGUUUCCUGGAGUUUAUGCUCUGACUAGCUCAGACCUGGAGGUACUUGCCCUGGAGGCUCUCGAGGUGUAUCUCUCUCUGCACUGUGAUCCAUUUUCUAAUCAAGUUCUGAUCAGUGAAAACCUUUUUCCACGUCCUGUCUCUGAGUGUGAUGCCAGAAUGUCCCGCUUGGCCUCCUGAUGGCCUUGUCUAAAAGGGCGCUGCCACAACGGUCGGCACAAGUAAAAAAAGACCACCUUCUCUAGAUGGUUACUCUGUUAGGAGGUUUUUGCAGUGACUCCCCUGACGUGUCCGUAUGAAGUCCAGCUUCUCGUGGCUCUGGAACUGAAUUCACCGCAGUGCAACAGAUUUGAAUGUUGUCCUGAGUUAGUUUUGUCUUCUCUGCAGUUUCAGAACAAAUGGAAGUUUGCUGAGGUGGUUUUCUGUAACUUACCUUUUUGUAUGAACUGUCAUCGCACUUCAUGUCUGUGCCUCUCCUCACACUGACAUACUAUUUAAGGCCGGGCCCACACGGGAUGCAUGUACAGUGCGCUUAUAUUAUAAGUGUUUCAAAUCCUGUAAAUAGGUUGCGGUGCUCGAUUAGUUGCACAAACUACUUAAGCAUGAAGCAGCUCAGUUGUCAAUCCUGCAAGUACUUGAAUGGAUUUGGGCAACACACAUCACAGCACUUUUAUUUUGAAAAAUAUACAAGACGUGCCGUUUUUGGACAUAUGUAAUUGAGAAAGACAUUAAUACUGCGUUAAAGGAUAAUUUUGAAAUGAAAUGCAGCCAGUAAUGUAAUGAAUUUAGGAAAAUAAGCAAAAGUUUUGCUACAAUUUUCUUAAGAGUUUUUACGCAGACAAGAUUUUACUCACGUUCCACUUCGUCUUCUCCGUUUUUUGGUGUAUUUCGGUGGAAGCGUUACAGCGCCACAAAUGGGCCUGGCUGUUGUACUACAGCGCUUUGGGAGGGGAUUGUGUAUUUAAAGAUAUUUCUUAAAACAAUCCUGUAUUUACAGACAACUUGUGAAACAAAGACAAGACAAGUUCGCUUAAAAGGGAGAAAAAGAAAUGUUCUGUUCUAUGAUGCUGCUUGUGCGUUUAGUGAGACCCCAGUCUAAUCUACAUGUAAUGCAUGUUCACAUUUUAAUAUCAUAUACUGUAUAACCUUUUGUUUUACAGUCAAAAAACCCCCAAAUGUGUUUGGUUAAAGACACAUGCACACUAAACACUGUUACUCAAACAUUGUUUUUCAAAGGUGACACCAUGACACUGCUUUGGUAUUUUUUUUUAAUUAAUUUAAAGUCUUGUUUAAAAAAAAUUAAAAAAAAAAAAAUCCUGCUGAGCAGUUAGUUCACUGUCAGACUCUCACUGUGUGUUUCUCGUCACAGGAGCCUGGACCAGUGGAAGGAGGCUGAUGAUCCACAUCCACUAACCAUGGUAACAAAGAAAAAGACGAUGUCUGAUGAAACGUCAAAGCUGUAGGGGAUUCUGCGAUGACAGGACGACCUCCAUGUUGAGCUGCAGUGUCAGGGAGGCAUCCAGCAGAGGUCCUGCUGGUCAGAGGAGGGGAGCAAUGUUUGCUCCUGUUUUGGAAUUUUUUAAUAAAUGAAUUAAAACAAA